AUAGUGCUCCGUUCCCGCACCGAGCGGCCAGUCGCGCGGACUCGUUCCGGAGAGUUUGCCCUAGAGCGCGGGCAAGUUUCUUCCCCAACCCGCUCUGCUAGAGUGGUACCUGCAACAGCUCCAGGGACGGAUGCCAAGGUAACUGCACUGGGGCUAGGGGGAUGCGCGGUACUCCCAGUCCGGGCGCCUCUGAUCACCGCGGUGGGCGCGGCUCUGGACGGGAUACGUGCAAGGUACCAUUGUGGCUUCGUUACUCUUGGGGUUGAGAAUGGCAUCUUUUGACUCUGGUAAUCCCCUCUUGGGCCAUUGCAGCUCACUUUAUUCCACUUUGUUAGAUAUCCAAGGAGCGGAGAGUGGGAGAGGGUAUGAAGACUUGGAGACCAGUGCAGGCACUCAGAGGUAACUUAGCAGCUACCUGGACUGAACUCCUGCCGCCCUACCCCCACCUCCUAUCCCCAAGGUGCACCGUGAACUCCAGUAUUCUGGCGAUACACCCGCGUGCGGACAGGUAGAGCUUGGAAACAGGACACCGGAGGGAAGAGUGUUGAGUUUCCCAGUGCCGGUCUGUCCAGUCCUCUGGCUUGUUUGGUAGAAAGAUGAUUGUCCCUACCCCGGUGCCUCCUUUGCACUGGCCCCAAACUCCGUGCUACGUUGCGGAGACUGCGGGCAAGGUGGGAGGGAAGGUUCCAAGCAGGGGCUGAAUGAUGGCUAAGCAGAGGGCUUGAGAGGGGCAAAGUGAGUCUCAGGUGUGAAGCAGGUGAGGGAGGAAGGAUGCAGGGUUUACAUCACCCCUAGGGGUUCCUUUAGUGCCAUUCCCCAUCCCUCUUCUGCCUGAAGUGAACAUCCUGCCUGCCAGCAUGUUUCUAUAGAAAGGCUAAAAGGUAGUUAUGGUUUGGUGCCUGUCAGGAGUUAUUUCCAACUAAGUUCCCACAUGUGAAGUCUACAGCUGUGGUCCUUCUCCCUCAGAUCCCAGGCCAACUUCAGUCCUCCCACAGGCAAAUUGUGCCUGAAUCAGCCCCAGGAUUUUGAAAGGAAUGGACAGACUAUAAAACAGUAUGUUUCUGUGAGCGCCAACCACUCUCUCGCCCCCGCGUUCUACCAAGGGGCCCAAACCAAAACACGGUGGAUGUUUAAUAGAAAAUUCCUCUCUUCAAGGUCCCCCCUUCUGGUAAUUAGGAUAAUGGUUAACCAAUAGCUAUUUCUCUACAUUAUUCUAGCUCUAUGCAAUUUUAUUUUUAUUAUUCCUGCUCCUGCUGGCUUAAAUAACAUGGACUUACUGUAGACUCACACAAAACACAGUGUGACCAUAUUUAAUAUUUAUCUGUCUCCCUGAUUCAAUGGCCCUGCCACCUGCCACUUCCCCAGCGUAAUCAUAACACCAUAUGCCUGUCUACCAAACUGAUGAUAGGAAGACUAUCAGUGUUUUGCAUGGGCAAAAGUUCCCAGCUACCACAUUUUGUUAUUGCUAUUUAGAUGAAGAGCUUCAGUCAAAAUGAAUCUGUUUCAGACAGGACAAAUUUAUACUUCUGCCCAAAGCUUUCAAACAAAAUACCUGAACACUCACAGUUGAUUAGGAAAUGAGGGAAAAUUAAACUAUCAUCAAACGAGAAACAUUUUGAUUGAAUACAGUCAAUAGAAAGAACACUUAUCAAACACCUAGAAAAAAUGAGAAGAACUUUUUAAUUUAUUUGCUUUUAAACCUUUCCACUGGGAUAGUACCUUCCUUCAGAAAAUGAGUAUCUUGAAUAUAGAAUUGGUCUUUACUAACUGAGCAUCAUAGUGUGUGAUAUAGGAGCUUGGUGACAAUCCAAAAACAAGGGUUUUAAAUCACCCACAACCAUCUGUUCUCUUCCACUUGCUUACAGUGCAGUGUUUUAUUCUCACAGGUAUCUGAGCAUGCUAACUCAUUUCACACCUCUGCAUGAGCAUCCCCAAAGCUGACACUGGUGUCAAAUGGACCCACCUUUCACAACCUGUUAUCAGACUGCUAACUUUCUCCAGUAAGCCUUUGGUUCCAACCAAAGAAGAAUUCAAAAGUCGUGAGGCAUUUGACCAAGGCUAGCAUAACAGGAGGGUCUAACUGUUUGUACUUCCAUCUUUUGCCUCUACAGAGAAGCUGCACAUUAAUUCAGCGAAAGGUUCUCUCAGUGAUAUUAUUUCCUUCAUGGUGAAAAUGGGCAUCAUUUGAUGCUCUAAUGACAUGGGUGAAACAUGUCUUGAUCUCUAAAAGUGAAUAUGGCUAUACCAACUUUCUGGGGGAAAAUUACAAAGU
rnacentral:lncRNA from 1 species